AGUGGCGUACGGGUGAGUAACACGUGGAUAACCUGCCCUUUAGUGGGGAAUACCGCUGGGAAACCGGCGACAAUACCGCAUAAGCUCGAGAGAGGAAAGCAGCAAUGCGCUGAAGGAGGGGUCCGCGGCCGAUUAGCUAGUUGGUAGGGUAAAAGCCUACCAAGGCUGUGAUCGGUAGCCGGCCUGAGAGGGCACACGGCCACACUGGCACUGAAACACGGGCCAGACUCCUACGGGAGGCAGCAGUGGGGAAUCUUGCACAAUGGGGGAAACCCUGAUGCAGCGACGCCGCGUGAGCGAUGAAGCCCUUCGGGGUGUAAAGCUCUUUCGGCGGGGACGAUUAUGACGGUACCUGCAGAAGCAGCUGCGGCUAACUACGUGCCAGCAGCCGCGGUAAUACGUAGGCAGCAAGCGUUGUUCGGAGUUACUGGGCGUAAAGGGUGCGUAGGCGGCUUCUUAAGUCUGGUGUGAAAUCUCCCGGCUCAACUGGGAGGGUGCGCCGGAUACUGAGGGGCUAGAGUGUGGGAGAGGAAAGUGGAAUUCCUGGUGUAGCGGUGAAAUGCGUAGAUAUCAGGAGGAACACCGGUGGUGUAAACGGCUUUCUGGACCAUUACUGACGCUGAUGCACGAAAGCGUGGGUAGCAAACAGGAUUAGAUACCCUGGUAGUCCACGCCCUAAACGAUGCAUAUUUGGUGUGGGCCAUUCAUUUGGUCCGUGCCGGAGCUAACGCGUUAAAUAUGCCGCCUGGGGAGUACAGUCGCAAGGCUGAAACUCAAAGGAAUUGACGGGGGCCCGCACAAGCGGUGGAGCAUGUGGUUUAAUUCGA
rnacentral:rRNA from 1 species